GAUGAACGCUGGCGGCGUGCCUAAUACAUGCAAGUCGAGCGAAUGGAUUAAGAGCUUGCUCUUAUGAAGUUAGCGGCGGACGGGUGAGUAACACGUGGGUAACCUGCCCAUAAGACUGGGAUAACUCCGGGAAACCGGGGCUAAUACCGGAUAACAUUUUGAACCGCAUGGUUCGAAAUUGAAAGGCGGCUUCGGCUGUCACUUAUGGAUGGACCCGCGUCGCAUUAGAUAGUUGGUGAGGUAACGGCUCACCAAGGCAACGAUGCGUAGCCGACCUGAGAGGGUGAUCGGCCACACUGGGACUGAGACACGGCCCAGACUCCUACGGGAGGCAGCAGUAGGGAGUCUUCCGCAAUGGACGAAAGUCUGACGGAGCAACGCCGCGUGAGUGAUGAAGGCUUUCGGGUCGUAAAACUCUGUUGUUAGGGAAGAACAAGUGCUAGUUGAAUAAGCUGGCACCUUGACGGUACCUAACCAGAAAGCCACGGCUAACUACGUGCCAGCAGCCGCGGUAA
rnacentral:rRNA from 1 species